rnacentral:rRNA from 1 species
AUCGAACGCUGGCGGCAGGCCUAACACAUGCAAGUCGAGCGAGUGGCGGACGGGUGAGUAACGUAUGGGGAUCUGCCCGUUAGAGGGGGAUAACUAUUGGAAACGGUGGCUAAUACCGCAAACUAUCGGUUGAACCCAUAUGGGAUUAGUUAGUAGGUGGGGUAAAGGCUCACCUAGGCGACGAUCUCGAGCCGGUCCGGGAGGAUGAUGAGCCAGACUGGAACGAGUGCACGGCCCAUACUCCGACGGGAGCCACCAGUGGGAAAAGUGGGACAAUGGGCGCAAGCCGGAAGCGGCCAGGCCGGGUGUAUGAAGAGGGCUUUGGAGGUGUAAGGUACGUACAGCGGGGAGGCGGUACCUGCAGAAGAAGCGCCGGCUAACUACGUGCCAGCAGCCGCGGUAAUAC